UACGGGGGGUAAGCGUUGUUCGGAAUUACUGGGCGUAAAGGGCUCGUAGGCGGCCAACUAAGUCAGACGUGAAAUCCCUCAGCUUAACUGGGGAACUGCGUCUGAUACUGGAUGGCUUGGAUUCGGGAGAGGAAUGCGGAAUUCCAGGUGUAGCGGUGAAAUGCGUAGAUAUCUGGAGGAACACCGGUGGCGAAGGCGGCAUUCUGGACCGAUAUUGACGCUGAGGAGCGAAAGCCAGGGGAGCAAACGGG
rnacentral:rRNA from 2 species